rnacentral:rRNA from 1 species
UACGUAGGGUGCAAGCGUUGUCCGGAAUUAUUGGGCGUAAAGAGCUUGUAGGCGGUUUGUCGCGUCUGCUGUGAAAUUUCGGGACUCAACCCCGAACUUGCAGUGGGUACGGGCAGACUAGAGUGUGGUAGGGGGAGACUGGAAUUCCUGGUGUAGCGGUGAAAUGCGCAGAUAUCAGGAGGAACACCGAUGGCGAAGGCAGGUCUCUGGGCCAUAACUGACGCUGAGAAGCGAAAGCAUGGGGAGCGAACAGG